UGGCAUUAAUCAAUUGCAUUGCUAUUCCAAUUCAAUAUCACUGCAUAUGUUGUAGUUACUGUUGGUGCAGCAAAAUGCAAACUCAGGAGUAAAAGACUGUGCUUUGUGCCUGGACCUAUUUGACUCCACAUACAGAAGGUUUUGAUGGUCAUGUUAGAGCAGAGUGAAAACAUGAUCAGACACCUGCAGAGAAACUUUCCUUUAUUCCUCAUUAGGAGAUGCUGUUUGUAAACUUUAAAGUGCAAAAUCCUCUACAGUUCCUGAAUUUCCUGGACCCAUAAAAAUGUUUGUCCCACAUUUAGGUACCUACUUAACAUGAAGAUGGCAAGAAUGAAGGCUUUUGC
rnacentral:lncRNA from 1 species